ACGGAGGACGGAGAUGAGAUCGGAUUUUAUGAGACGGCGGAGAGGACGGAGGGUAAGGGAGAGGGAGACACCGGUUCGAUGAGCUCGUUUGAGAGAUUGGAUUGAUUGGAUUGCUUCGGUGCUUAGGAUUCGGCCUUUGAGAAGUGGUCCGCGGUUGUCUCGUGGACCGCAUCGGAUCGAAACGAACGUUCUCUUAGGAACGAUGACGCUAAGGGUAUGGCUAUGGCUAAGGCUUGGUGGUCGAGUCUGGCUGAGAGAAAGCGCCAUUAUUAAUCACACCAAUCUUUACGAGUGUGGUUGUGUGAGUGAGAGAGAUGGUCUUUCAUUGGGCAAGCCCAUAUUAAUUUAUAAAAGGCCCAUAUGUGACACAAAAUUAAUUAAUUUAUACUUUCUAAUUAUGCGUCGUUUAUAUUUCUGUUCCCGCUAAUUUCUCUACACGAGUCUAUCAUUACACUUGCAAGAGCG